AACGAACGCUGGCGGCAGGCUUAACACAUGCAAGUCGAACGCAUCCUUCGGGGUGAGUGGCAGACGGGUGAGUAGCGCGUGGGAACGUGCCCUUCAGUUCGGGAUAAUCCAGGGAAACUUGGGCUAAUACCGGAUACGUGCGAGAGCAGAAAGAUUUAUCGCUGAAGGAUCGGCCCGCGUCUGAUUAGCUAGUUGGUGGGGUAAUGGCCCACCAAGGCGACGAUCAGUAGCUGGUCUGAGAGUGUGAUCAGCCACAUUGGGACUGAGACACGGCCCAAACUCCUACGGGAGGCAGCAGUGGGGAAUAUUGGACAAUGGGCGCAAGCCUGAUCCAGCCAUGCCGCGUGAGUGAUGAAGGCCUUAGGGUUGUAAAGCUCUUUCGUCCGGGACGAUAAUGACGGUACCGGAAGAAGAAGCCCCGGCUAACUUCGUGCCAGCCGCCGCCGUAA
rnacentral:rRNA from 1 species